UUUUAACUGUAGAGGCGGAUUGUUGCCCCGCCCACUAGAAUUACAUACCCCGGCCACUUUAAGAGCAAACUAAGAGGUGUUUUACAUUGUUUUUUUUUGAGUCUCAUUCGCUCUCUUCACACUGGGCGCCUCGUGAUGAUCACAGGAAGACACACAAACACACCCUGAAACAUGUGGACGAAAGUGAAAAACAACAACAGCUCUCUUCAUGAAGAACCACAGGACCACAAUCUCACACAGAUAGUUUCCCCAGUGUCUUCCUGGCUCCCCUCCAGCUCUGAUAGAAAUGGCUCAGUAACUGCCAGUCCACCCCCUCUUGCUGAGACCCCCAUGAAUAGAGAGAGUGGAAUCAUACCAGGUGCGAUUGCUGCAGCAGUGUUCAUAGGCUUUCUGUUAGCCCUCUAUGCUGUUCUUUGGAAAUGCAUGGUUACGCAACCGAAAAGGAGGAAAAAAAGAACAAGUUUGAAGGCUCGUGAACAGAGGACUCUUACGUGCUGACCUGGACGAGACGUCCUCCUGUCUGCCAGAAAUUCUGAGUUACUGACCUUAGGUCAGAUCUUCUCCUGCUAUGUAUCAGCACCCUUAUGAACUGUUUAGUCUUAACGCACACUAAUUGAGGGAUCGUUUUGAGGGAAGUAGAUGCUUCUGUUUCACAGUUUUACAUAGUCAUCAACAGAUCAAUGUCUGCUGUCUUUCAUAAAUCAUCCAUCAGGUUCUUCAUCUGUCUGUUUGGCUGAUCACCAGAUGUUAUAGGGGGAGUUACAUUUUGGAAAAUGGUCUUGAUAAUGUGGAAUUCAGUCAUAAAACUGAAUAAUUUUGUGUAUGUUAUGUGUGUAUAUAUAGAAAAUAACAGCUCUUGAGCUACUUAUGAAUAGUUUACUUGAUUAUAAGAUAUUUCCAGAGAGCAUCAUGUAGGUGUAGCGAAGCCAUGGCACAACACGUCAAAUGUCCACUAGAUGGCAGAGGGCUCUGUGUUUUUUCAUUUGCUGAAACAAGGAAAUCACCAUAUAUCCCAUAAAGUCUUUCAGUCUUUACAGGUUUAUCUUUAUAGACUUAUGUGUUUAGGACGUUUAUUUUAUUGCUGAUAGCUAUGCUAAUUAAUACAUGGAAGAUAUAAUAAAUGUUAAGAGGCUAGGUCCUUGUUUUUCCUCCAAAUAUCCCCUUUGACCAUAGUGAACUCUGCACCAGUGAAUGAGUGCGUGUGUGUGUGAGUGAGAGAGAUUUCCCUUAUGCAGCAGUAUUGGCCAGAGAGCAGCACAUUUCUGGGUUAAAGUCUUUGGGUACGUGCGAGUUUGUGUGUAUGAACAUAAGAAUAGGGAGUUGCAGAUUGCACAUUUUUAUUGCAGGUGCUUAGUUUGCACAAUUGCCGUACUGUUAUGUAUUUUAUUUUAUUGUCAUUAUUUACAAUAGUUUUCAUUGUUAAGGUUUGAUUUUUCCUUUUAUUUUGGAUUAGAAUGUGUUAAAUUCCUUCUAGUCAAUGCAGUAUAAGUUGUGUGGCUGUAUAAAACAAAUUUUUCACCACACAAAUGUUUAAUAUAGAAUGUUAUGAUUGAUAUGUGCCUGUAAAUGUGAACUUUGAUAUAUGAUGACUUUGUACAAUCACAUUAAAAGACGUUUAUAAAACUGAUAA